CUGAAACCGUGUACGUACAAGCAGUGGGAGCCCCACCACCAAAGCAUUCUCUGGUGUUGAAGGCCCUGCAAAGCAGCAUCGCGGUGGCGGAGCGUCGUUUGCGACGCCCAACACACAAAACAAGCGGUGAGUGCUUUGGGGUGGGGUGACUGCGUACCUUUUGUAUAAUGGGUCAGCGACUUAUAUUCUGUAGCAAGGUUAACCGUAUAGGGGAGCCGCAGGGAAACCGAGUCUUAACCGGGCGUUAAGUUGCAGGGUAUAGACCCGAAACCCGGUGAUCUAGCCAUGGGCAGGUUGAAGGUUGGGUAACACUAACUGGAGGACCGAACCGACUAAUGUUGAAAAAUUAGCGGAUGACCUGUGGCUGGGGGUGAAAGGCCAAUCAAACCGGGAGAUAGCUGGUUCUCCCCGAAAGCUAUUUAGGUAGCGCCUCGUGAAUUCAUCUCCGGGGGUAGAGCACUGUUUCGGCUAGGGGGCCAUCCCGGCUUACCAACCCGAUGCAAACUGCGAAUACCGGAGAAUGUUAUCACGGGAGACACACGGCGGGUGCUAACGUCCGUCGUGAAGAGGGAAACAACCCAGACCGCCAGCUAAGGUCCCAAAGUCAUGGUUAAGUGGGAAACGAUGUGGGAAGGCCCAGACAGCCAGGAUGUUGGCUUAGAAGCAGCCAUCAUUUAAAGAAAGCGUAAUAGCUCACUGGUCGAGUCGGCCUGCGCGGAAGAUGUAACGGGGCUAAACCAUGCACCGAAGCUGCGGCAGCGAACGUAUCACUUAAAGCGAUUCAGCGGGUUACGAUUGACGGAGCGAAGCGACGUCAAAGCGUAUACAAAGUCGAGUCGGUUUAAGGAUACGUUCGUUGGGUAGGGGAGCGUUCUGUAAGCCUGUGAAGGUGGCCUGUGAGGGUUGCUGGAGGUAUCAGAAGUGCGAAUGCUGACAUAAGUAACGAUAAAGCGGGUGAAAAGCCCGCUCGCCGGAAGACCAAGGGUUCCUGUCCAACGUUAAUCGGGGCAGGGUGAGUCGACCCCUAAGGCGAGGCCGAAAGGCGUAGUCGAUGGGAAACGGGUUAAUAUUCCCGUACUUGGUGUUACUGCGAAGGGGGGACGGAGAAGGCUAUGUUGGCCGGGCGACGGUUGUCCCGGUUUAAGCGUGUAGGUGUGUGUUCCAGGUAAAUCCGGUUCACUUUAACACUGAGGCGUGACGACGAGGCACUACGGUGCUGAAGCAACAAAUGCCCUGCUUCCAGGAAAAGCCUCUAAGCAUCAGGUAACAUCAAAUCGUACCCCAAACCGACACAGGUGGUCAGGUAGAGAAUACCAAGGCGCUUGAGAGAACUCGGGUGAAGGAACUAGGCAAAAUGGUGCCGUAACUUCGGGAGAAGGCACGCUGACACGUAGGUGAAGUGAUUUACUCAUGGAGCUGAAGUCAGUCGAAGAUACCAGCUGGCUGCAACUGUUUAUUAAAAACACAGCACUGUGCAAACACGAAAGUGGACGUAUACGGUGUGACGCCUGCCCGGUGCCGGAAGGUUAAUUGAUGGGGUCAGCGCAAGCGAAGCUCCUGAUCGAAGCCCCGGUAAACGGCGGCCGUAACUAUAACGGUCCUAAGGUAGCGAAAUUCCUUGUCGGGUAAGUUCCGACCUGCACGAAUGGCGUAAUGAUGGCCAGGCUGUCUCCACCCGAGACUCAGUGAAAUUGAACUCGCUGUGAAGAUGCAGUGUACCCGCGGCAAGACGGAAAGACCCCGUGAACCUUUACUAUAGCUUGACACUGAACAUUGAGCCUUGAUGUGUAGGAUAGGUGGGAGGCUUUGAAGUGUGGACGCCAGUCUGCAUGGAGCCGACCUUGAAAUACCACCCUUUAAUGUUUGAUGUUCUAACGUGGACCCGUAAUCCGGGUUGCGGACAGUGUCUGGUGGGUAGUUUGACUGGGGCGGUCUCCUCCUAAAGAGUAACGGAGGAGCACGAAGGUUGGCUAAUCCUGGUCGGACAUCAGGAGGUUAGUGCAAUGGCAUAAGCCAGCUUGACUGCGAGCGUGACGGCGCGAGCAGGUGCGAAAGCAGGUCAUAGUGAUCCGGUGGUUCUGAAUGGAAGGGCCAUCGCUCAACGGAUAAAAGGUACUCCGGGGAUAACAGGCUGAUACCGCCCAAGAGUUCAUAUCGACGGCGGUGUUUGGCACCUCGAUGUCGGCUCAUCACAUCCUGGGGCUGAAGUAGGUCCCAAGGGUAUGGCUGUUCGCCAUUUAAAGUGGUACGCGAGCUGGGUUUAGAACGUCGUGAGACAGUUCGGUCCCUAUCUGCCGUGGGCGCUGGAGAACUGAGGGGGGCUGCUCCUAGUACGAGAGGACCGGAGUGGACGCAUCACUGGUGUUCGGGUUGUCAUGCCAAUGGCACUGCCCGGUAGCUAAAUGCGGAAGAGAUAAGUGCUGAAAGCAUCUAAGCACGAAACUUGCCCCGAGAUGAGUUCUCCCUGAGACUUAGAGUCUCCUGAAGGAACGUUGAAGACGACGACGUUGAUAGGCCGGGUGUGUAAGCGCAGCGAUGCGUUGAGCUAACCGGUACUAAUGAACCGUGAGGCUUAACCUU
rnacentral:rRNA from 1 species